rnacentral:rRNA from 1 species
AUUGAACGCUGGCGGCAGGCCUAACACAUGCAAGUCGAGCGGAUGAAGGGAGCUUGCUCCUGGAUUCAGCGGCGGACGGGUGAGUAAUGCCUAGGAAUCUGCCUGGUAGUGGGGGAUAACGUCCGGAAACGGGCGCUAAUACCGCAUACGUCCUGAGGGAGAAAGUGGGGGAUCUUCGGACCUCACGCUAUCAGAUGAGCCUAGGUCGGAUUAGCUAGUUGGUGGGGUAAAGGCCUACCAAGGCGACGAUCCGUAACUGGUCUGAGAGGAUGAUCAGUCACACUGGAACUGAGACACGGUCCAGACUCCUACGGGAGGCGGCAGUGGGGAAUAUUGGACAAUGGGCGAAAGCCUGAUCCAGCCAUGCCGCGUGUGUGAAGAAGGUCUUCGGAUUGUAAAGCUCUUUAAGUUGGGAGGAAGGGCAGUAAGUUAAUACCUUGCUGUUUUGACGUUACCAACAGAAUAAGCACCGGCUAACUUCGUG